rnacentral:rRNA from 1 species
UGGGGAAUAUUGCGCAAUGGGCGAAAGCCUGACGCAGCGACGCCGCGUGAGGGAUGACGGCCUUCGGGUUGUAAACCUCUUUCAGCAGGGACGAAGCGCAAGUGACGGUACCUGCAGAAGAAGCACCGGCCAACUACGUGCCAGCAGCCGCGGUAAUACGUAGGGUGCAAGCGUUGUCCGGAAUUAUUGGGCGUAAAGAGCUCGUAGGCGGCCUGUCGCGUCGGCUGUGAAAACCCGGGGCUCAACCCCGGGCCUGCAGUCGAUACGGGCAGGCUAGAGUCCGGUAGGGGAGACUGGAAUUCCUGGUGUAGCGGUGAAAUGCGCAGAUAUCAGGAGGAACACCGGUGGCGAAGGCGGGUCUCUGGGCCGGAACUGACGCUAAGGAGCGAAAGCGUGGGGAGCGAACAGGAUUAGAUACCCCCGUAGUCC